CCUACGGGAGGCAGCAGUGGGGAAUAUUGCACAAUGGGCGCAAGCCUGAUGCAGCCAUGCCGCGUGUGUGAAGAAGGCCUUCGGGUUGUAAAGCACUUUCAGCGGGGAGGAAGGCGGUGAGGUUAAUAACCUCAUCGAUUGACGUUACCCGCAGAAGAAGCACCGGCUAACUCCGUGCCAGCAGCCGCGGUAAUACGGAGGGUGCAAGCGUUAAUCGGAAUUACUGGGCGUAAAGCGCACGCAGGCGGUCUGUCAAGUCGGAUGUGAAAUCCCCGGGCUCAACCUGGGAACUGCAUUCGAAACUGGCAGGCUAGAGUCUUGUAGAGGGGGGUAGAAUCCCAGGUGUAGCGGUGAAAUGCGUAGAGAUCUGGAGGAAUACCGGUGGCGAAGGCGGCCCCCUGGACAAAGACUGACGCUCAGGUGCGAAAGCGUGGGGAGCAAACAGGAGUAGAUACCCGAGUAGUC
rnacentral:rRNA from 1 species